GUACCUACGGGGGGCAGCAGUGAGGAAUAUUGAUCAAUGGGAGGAAUCCUGAACCAGCCAUGCCGCGUGCAGGACGACGGCUCUACGAGUUGUAAACUGCUUUUGUACCGGGGUAAAAUGCCUUACGAGUAGGGUUUUGAAAGUACGGUACGAAUAAGGAUCGGCUAACUCCGUGCCAGCAGCCGCGGUAAUACGGAGGAUCCGAGCGUUAUCCGGAUUCAUUGGGUGUAAAGGGAGCGUAGACGGCGACGCAAGUCUGGAGUGAAAGCCCGGGGCCCAACCCCGGGACUGCUCUGGAAACUGCG
rnacentral:rRNA from 1 species